rnacentral:hammerhead_ribozyme from 1 species
AUUCAGCUGAUGAGUCCAAAAAUAGGACGAAACGCGUGUCCUGGUU